UAGCAUGAAGUCAGACAAGUGAACCCGCUGAAU
rnacentral:rRNA from 2 species